UGGGGAAUAUUGGACAAUGGGCGCAAGCCUGAUCCAGCAAUGCCGCGUGUGUGAAGAAGGCCUUCGGGUUGUAAAGCACUUUUAUCAGGAGCGAAACGCUGUCGGCUAAUACCCGGCGGAACUGACGGUACUUGAGGAAUAAGCACCGGCUAACUUCGUGCCAGCAGCCGCGGUAAUACGAAGGGUGCAAGCGUUAAUCGGAAUUACUGGGCGUAAAGCGUGCGUAGGCGGUUUCUUAAGUCUGCUGUGAAAUCCCCGGGCUCAACCUGGGAAUGGCAGUGGAUACUGGGAGGCUAGAGUGUGUCAGAGGGUGGUGGAAUUCCCGGUGUAGCGGUGAAAUGCGUAGAGAUCGGGAGGAACAUCAGUGGCGAAGGCGGCCACCUGGGACAACACUGACGCUGAGGCACGAAAGCGUGGGGAGCAAACAGGAUUAGAUACCCUGGUAGUCCACGCCCUAAACGAUGCGAACUGGAUGUUGGUCUCAACUCGGAGAUCAGUGUCGAAGCUAACGCGUUAAGUUCGCCGCCUGGGGAGUACGGUCGCAAGACUGAAACUUAAAUGAAUUGACGGGGUCAUAGUUGUUUCCUG
rnacentral:rRNA from 1 species